rnacentral:misc_RNA from 1 species
GCCAUGGGGUUCAAUACAAUGCUAAUGAAACUUGCAUUGCCGGUGGUGAUUGUGGCAGCUGUGUCACCAUUAGCAACAGCUCAAGCCAAACCUGGCUGCCAGAGCCACUGCGGCAACAUUAGCAUCCCAUACCCCUUCGGCACAACCCAGGGUUGUUACAUGGAUGAACAAUUUCUCAUCACUUGUAACAACGCAACAAACCCUCCAAAACCAUUCUUAAACUUGAGCAAUAUCCCAGUCCUCGACAUUUCCCUCGAUGGCUAUUUGCGCAUCCUUGACUCAGUAUCCUACAAUUGCUACACCGAUAGCCCAUUGAGCAGACCCCUUUUUGAAUCUCCAUACUUCCCCAGGCAGUUGGAAUUUCCCAUAUCUAAUACUAAAAACAUGUUCACCCUUGUCGGUUGUAACACUGACGCAGAGAUUAUAGGUUUACCAAACAAAGAUCGGCUGACAGGAUGCAUGACUGUGUGUCUCAAUAAUUCCACAAACCUCAUGAAGAAUGGGGAAUGCUCCAACAUAGGCUGUUGCCAGAGCCCCCUUCCAAGAGGAAUGCGUGAUUAUUACAUAAACAUAGCUUUGUUUAACGACAGCAAGAUUCCUAAACUCUAUCCUUGUAAUUAUGCUUUUAUUGCGGAGGAUGGGGCUUACAAUUUCUCCUCUUCAGAUCUUGAUAAAAAUUUACAGAAUAUUACAGACCUCCCGAUGGUGCUUGAUUGGUCGAUCGGAAAUCAGACUUGCGAACAGGCCAAGAAGGAUCCUAAAACUUUUGCAUGCAAGGAGUUUAGCUAUUGUAUUGACUCGAAAAAUGGUUCAGGGUAUCGAUGCAAUUGUUCAGCAGGCUUUCAGGGAAACCCUUAUAUCCCUAACGGUUGCCAAGAUAUCGACGAGUGUGAAACUUUAAAACCUUGCAAUGGGACAUGCCACAAUGUUCCUGGCGGUUACAACUGCUCUUGUCCAGCAGGUUUUGAAGGCGACGGCAGGAAAGAUGGAACAGGCUGCAGUCUUCAACAAGUCAUGGCCAACCAUCAAUCCAAGAGGCUUCCUCAUAUCAUCACUGCACUAGGAAUCAGCAUAAGCCUUUUAGUUCUACUGCUGGGCAUUUCAUGGAUUUAUUUGGGACGAAAGCAGAGAAAGUUCAGAGAGCUCAAAGAAAAGUAUUUUUUACAAAAUGGGGGCAAUUUGCUAGAGCGAGAGCUUUCGAAACAUAAUGCGUCCAUUGAAACAGCUAAAAUAUUCACGGCAGAAGACCUCAAGAAGGCAACAAACAAUUAUGAUGAAAGCAGAAUUCUAGGCGAAGGAGGCCAAGGUAGAGUUUACAAAGGUAUUUUGCCUGACAAUCAAGUUAUUGCCAUCAAGAAAGCUAAAACAGUGGAUCAGAGCCAAGUUGAGAAGUUCAUUAAUGAAGUGAUAAUACUCUCCCAAAUUAACCAUAAAAAUGUGGUAAAACUCUUGGGAUGUUGUUUAGAAACUGAAGCUCCCUUGUUGGUCUAUGAAUUUGUGACUAACGGUACCCUUUUCGACCACCUGCUCAGAGCUGGCCGUGCAACCUUAAUUCCAUGGGAAACUCGUCUGAAAAUAGCCACAGAAACCGCUGGAGCCCUUUCAUACUUGCACUCUGCUGCUUCUACUCCAAUCAUUCACAGAGACAUCAAGCUUGCCAACAUACUCUUAGAUGAUAAUUACACAGCUAAAGUAUCUGAUUUUGGAGCUUCAAGGUUGAUCCCUUCGGACCAGACUCAAUUUACCACGCUAUUGCAAGGAACUCUGGGGUACUUGGAUCCUGAAUACCUGCAUACACACCAGUUGACUGUAAAGAGCGAUGUUUAUAGUUUUGGGGUUGUU